rnacentral:rRNA from 1 species
UGCAGUCGACGCGAAGUCCCCUUCGGGGGACAAGUAGAGUGGCGCACGGGUGAGUAACACGUAGGUAAUCUACCUUCGGAUGGGGAAUAACAACCGGAAACGGUUGCUAAUACCGCAUAAUGCAGCGGCACCUAAUGGUGACAGUUGUUAAAGCGGGGGAUCGAAAGACCCCGCGUCUGAAGAGGAGCCUGCGGCGGAUUAGCUAGUUGGUAAGGUAAUGGCUUACCAAGGCAACGAUCCGUAACCGGCCUGAGAGGGCGGUCGGUCACACUGACACUGACAUACGGGUCAGACUCCUACGGGAGGCAGCAGUCGGGAAUUUUGGGCAAUGGGCGAAAGCCUGACCCAGCAACGCCGCGUGAAGGAUGAAAUCCCUCGGAAUGUAAACUUCGCAAGAACGGGAAGAAUAAGUAGGGGACAACACCCCCUAUGAUGACGGUACCGUUUGUAAGCUCCGGCUAACUCCGUGCCAGCAGCCGCGGUAAUACGGGGGGAGCAAGCGUUGUUCGGAUUUACUGGGCGUAAAGGGCGCGUACGCGGCCUCCGCAAGUCAGUUGUGAAAUCUCCGAGCUUAACUCGGAAAGGUCAACUGAUACUGCGGGGCUAGAGUGCGGAAUGGGCA